rnacentral:lncRNA from 1 species
CUUUACUCAGUCUGUGCGGAGCAGUUUGGGCUUUGAUUCCUUUUUUAAUCUGUGUGUCUGGAGUUGGCAGAUAAACCUAAUCUGUGCUGUUUUGCUCAUCAGAUCUCACUGAGCGCAUUUUACUCGGCUCUACAGAACAGAUAUUAAGAAACAUUCAGACACGCGGGGUAAGGCUGAGACGCUCUGCAAAUCACGCGGCCCCGGACAAAGCCACCUAGGGCAGGGAGCUGAAGGUCCUCCGGCCGCGCCGCCUCCCCGGACCUGCAAGCUCUCCACCCUGCUCGCCGCGGGCCUCUGCGGCAGGCGUUCGGCACUUCCCGGUCGCUCUCCCCGACGCCCCAUCUUCCCUCAUCAGGCUUCGCCUCCAGCGAGGGAGAGCAGAACCGGGGGCGGGCGCCCAGAGAGCCUGGCCUCUCCAGCCUCAGGAGCAGGCACUGCCACCAUGGUUUCCUCUCCUAGGGAAACUGAGCAGCAAUUCUACUCACAUGGAUGACAGAGAGU